rnacentral:lncRNA from 1 species
GGUGCACAUGCCUGUGGGUGCUGGUGUGUGGAGGUCAUAGGGUGACAUUGGAUGUGAUUCAUUGGCCAAGACACAGUAGGCUAGGCUGAUGAGCCAGUUAUCCCUGGGAAUCUGCUUGUCUCUGCCUGGACAGUACUGGCAUUAAAGAUGCAUGCUACUAAGUCUGUUUCUGUUAAUCAUGUGUUGUGCUUUUUCCACAUGGGUUCUGGAGGCAGAUCUCGGGGCCUCAUGCUUGCAUGACAAAUGCUUUACUGACUGAGCUAUCUGUCACUGCACCUUGCUUAAACUUUAGCUAAGAGGGACCGAGGGGGAAAAUACUCUAUGCAAACAUAGUAGUUAGUAACAUUACCCUUAAUUACAAGUCAGCUUUUCUCCAGCAGAGGGAUUGCCGCAUCAUUGAACCUUCUGGAUGAAAUAUUUGGACACACUUAGCUAUCUUUCAUAGUGCAAUAUUUAAAUCUGAUUAACUUUUUACUUACUAUUUUUCUUAGAGAAAGGCAUAUGAUGGGGAGAAUGUUUUAAAAUGGCUACGUAAAAGUUCUUGUGUGAUAGUUGACCUUUGAGACUUUGUUGUGUCUCUAGAGUGGCAUGUUACAUGAUUUCCACAUAGUGUGAUUCCUGUCUGUCGACUAAGUUAACUUCCAAAAUGCUUUACGUAUGAUGUUUAAGUAUUAUUCUCUUUUGUUAGUAUUAAACGUUAGAUCUUUUCCUCCUAGGACUAUUUUUUCCACUUAUUAAUAGAUAUACUGCCACCAGGUGGCAGCAUGUUGCUAUGGUAACAGCUACAAAAUGAGACACUUCCUCAAGGUUGUUUAUACCCUUAUCCCAGAUGAUUCUAGAAUGAUCAGUUAAGCCUAGUCUUUUAAAAACAUUUUAAAAUAAAUGUCUUAAUACAUUUUAAAGUUGGUUUUUCAUUGCAUAUACAUUGAUAAAUGAAUAUAUUUCCUAGUUUGAAAAAUGUUAUUUUACAGCUUAUUUUUCACACUAGCCUAUUAAAAGAUAAUAAAAAGCUAAUUGUAGUGUUCAUUGGAUGCUGGUAUAACAGGCCAAAUUUAGUUCUUAGUUGACUUGAAUUUCUCACCUUAUUUACUUCUUCCAGUAAGGUUGUGAGACUGUUAGACUGUGGUACUUAAAACUGGCUCAGAACCAUGAAGUUGAAAAGAGUAACACCGGUCACAACAUGCUCAACAUAGAAGCACUGAAGCAGGUUUAAACAGCCUUUUCCCUGGGUAUCAGCCUAACCUGUGACUGCACCCUGGGUGCAAGUGAUUUUGUUGGUCAUGUGGGUGCCUUCAUGUUAUUGUACCAUCCAGAUACUCUGCUUCACAGCAUCAAAUGAUUUGAAUCCUUUUUAAUUAGUAAUAUAAGUUUAUUUUUCCAGAGACUCUGAAAUGCUUGUUGGCUUUCUUCCAUUGCGUGUUCAUGCUCACUAGCUUAAUACCCUUUCUCUCUCUCUCUCUGGCUUGCUUGCUCGCUCGCUUGCUCUCUUACUCUCUAUUGCUCCUGCUCUCGCUCUUUUUAGACGGUCUAUGUAGCUCUCAAUAUAUAGAACUAGCUGGCCUCAAACUCAGAAAGAUCAUGUGACUCUCCAAAAUGCUUGGAUUAAAGGUGUGUACCACAAUGCCUGGCUCCUUUUAUGUUGAAGGGACUUAAAGGGUUCAGAGUCAGUCCUGAAGAUACUCUUAAAGCUCUGGGACCAGGAGACGAAAUGAGCUGGGAAGACUGAGUGAGUGAGUGAGUGAGUGAGUGAGUGAGUGGCUGGCUGUGUGCACACAUUGGUUGUCUGAGAGUUCUGUCAGCAGCUCUGGUUGGUUACUCUUUAGUAGGUCUUUCCUCUUCCAAUGUUCUGAGUAACUGUUCAAACACAUUACUUCAUGCUUUUAUUUUCAGCAUUGUCUCCUAAUUUGUAUUUUUCAAAGAUCGGAUACUUAAAAAAAUGAUGAAUGCUUAAAAAUUAAUGUUAUGAAAGGGAAGGAAAGGCAGAGAGUGUAACUCGGUGCUUUUCUACCAUGUGUGGGUUGGGUUUGAUUUCUCCAGUACUGUUUCUGCUCCCC